rnacentral:rRNA from 1 species
GAGUUUGAUCCUGGCUCAGGACGAACGCUGGCGGCGUGCUUAAUACAUGCAAGUCGAACGGAGUUAAGGGUUUCGGCCCUUAACUUAGUGGCGAACGGGUGAGUAACGCGUGAAUAACCUGACUCAAAGAGGGGGAUAACAACGGGAAACUGUUGCUAAUACCGCAUGAGACCACAACACCGCAUGAUGAAGGGGUCAAAGAUUUAUCGCUUUGAGAGGGGUUCGCGUCCCAUUAGGUAGUUGGAGGGGUAACGGCCCACCAAGCCAACGAUGGGUAGCCGAGCUGAGAGGCUGAUCGGCCACAUUGGGACUGAGACACGGCCCAAACUCCUACGGGAGGCAGCAGUGGGGAAUAUUGGGCAAUGGGGGAAACCCUGACCCAGCAACGCCGCGUGGAGGAAGAAGGUUUUCGGAUCGUAAACUCCUGUCCUUGGAGACGAGUAGAAGACGGUAUCCAAGGAGGAAGCCCCGGCUAACUACGUGCCAGCCGCCGCGGUAAUUC